GCGCGAAAACUUUACAAUGCUGCAACAGCGAUAAGGGAACCUCGAGUGCCAGGUUACAAAUCUGGCUGUCGUUGUGUCUAAAAAACACGAUAUAGCAAGGGCCGGGCAAGACCGGUGCCAGCCGCCGCGGUAACACCGGCGGCUCGAGUGGUAACCGUUAUUAUUGGGUCUAAAGGGUCUGUAGCCGGCCGGAUAAGUCUCUUGAGAAAUCUGGCAGCUUAACUGUCAGGCUUUCAGGAGAUACUGUCUGGCUCGAGGCCGGGAGAGGUGAGAGGUACUUCAGGGGUAGGGGUGAAAUCUUGUAAUCCUUGAAGGACCACCAGUGGCGAAGGCGUCUCACCAGAACGGACCUGACGGCAAGGGACGAAAGCUAGGGGCACGAACCG
rnacentral:rRNA from 1 species